rnacentral:lncRNA from 1 species
AAAAGAGUUUUAUUAAUUAGUCAGUGUUUGUGCUGAAUGUGGAACAUCACCAUUUACAUCACAAUUCAUGAGCUGGCCACUCUUUGAGUGGAUCCACUUACAAGUUAAGGUGGUCCUGAUAGAUGUGUUCCUUUCCUGUGGGAGCAGGUCCAUGUGGGAGCCUUUGGAAAAGAACAGAGGGUUUCCUAGCAGGGCCAUCCAUGCGGGCAUGGAUCCCGGCACUAUGCUAAAGAAAUUCUCAGAGGACGGAGGCAUGGGGAGGAGAACUCCAAGAGAGACAGGAAGCAGCACCAGGAUUCCAUCCUGUAGGACAUCUUUAAUGUGA